UUGGAACAGUAUUGUUCAUCU
rnacentral:piRNA from 1 species